AAACAAAAGCCAACGAAAGAGAAGCAGCCCAACCCAUCUUCAUAUAACAUUCUCAGAGUCGAUAACGACUAUAUUUUCUGGUAACGGAGGAGAUUGCAAGGCUUGCUUCGGUGUUUCUAUGCAAGGUUGGUUGAUGAAGACGAAUAUGGUGCACGAAUCAGGAAGAUCCCACACAUGGAUAACCCUAAUUGCACCCUCUGAUGAGAUCGCAAAUGCUCUGUAAAAAAAGCUUUGAUUGGGCGGAUGAAGAAGAGCCUCUGAAACUUCGAGCAUUGCGCUCUCUCUCCAUACAGUGGAAGAUAGAUCCAACUUGUUGAUGGAGUAAUAACAGAUUUUUCCAAUUCCAUGAUGCUUUGCUGAGGAAAUGGGAAAGAAGUGACGGAUGACGUUCCACCACAGACUUAAUUUGGAUUUAGAAUAUUGUUUUGCUAUUUUUGUACUAAGUCCCAUAUUUUUGUAAAACCUUAGUUUGUUAUAUUCGGUAUAGAGGUUUGUAGACCCUUGUUAUUGUAAUCAUAAUUAUGGACUGUAACUUUAGUAUAAGUUGUCCAAACGUUGUAAGACAUGUACUUUAGAUCUUAACCAUAUAUUUUGGGACUGUAAUUAUGAUAAUUUGGAUUAAAUGGUAUGUGAAUGUUCCACCAUGAGAUGAACCAUGUUGAGGUAUAAUGAACGGAUGAAUGGGAUGCCGAAAUAUAUUAUUUGUGUUGUGUGUUGGGACAGGUUGAAUAUGUCUUGAAGGGCCAAGAAGGGCCAUUGCGUUUUUUUUUAUUUGAACAGGUGGUUGUAAGCCCUUUUUUAGGAGAGGUCAUGCUAAAUUUAUUUUAAAAUCUUUUUUUUUUU